rnacentral:tRNA from 1 species
AUUCUUAUAGUGUAAGUAACACAUUACAUUUUCAUUGUAAAACUAAAGGUCAAGCCCUUUUAAUAAUA